rnacentral:rRNA from 1 species
UACGUAGGGUGCAAGCGUUGUCCGGAAUUAUUGGGCGUAAAGAGCUCGUAGGCGGUUUGUCGCGUCUGCUGUGAAAACGCGAGGCUCAACCUCGCGCCUGCAGUGGGUACGGGCAGACUAGAGUGCGGUAGGGGAGAUUGGAAUUCCUGGUGUAGCGGUGGAAUGCGCAGAUAUCAGGAGGAACACCCGUGGCGAAGGCGGCUCUCUGGGACGGUACUGACGCUGAGACGCGAAAGCGUGGGGAGCGAACAGG